AAACUUAAGAGUUAAGAAACCCUAACCCCCCUGCCCCUUCCCUCGCUGAGAGCCGCCGCCUCCUCUCGCCCUUCCCUCGCUGAGAGCCGCCGCCUCCUCUCGCCCUUCCCUCGUUUAGAGCCGCCGCCUCCGCUCUCCCUUCCCUGGCUGAGAGCCUGAGAGCUGCCGCCUCCUCUCGGUGCCGCCGCCUCUUCAACGACUGACCGGUGGCUCUUCGCGUCCUUCUCCACCGGCCGGCAACUCUCCGCGUCUCUGGUCACCUGCUCACCGGUUUUGAGAGUUAGAAGAUGCAAGAUGUUCUUCUACAGUUUUCUAUUAUGGAAGUGGCUUCAAGAAUUAUGGUUACAUUUACAAUUGUUAUAAUGUUAAUGGAACAAUGUAAUUUGUAUUUUGUCUAAAUAUGUAGUUGUCUAAGUUUGUAAUUUUUAUUGUUGGGUUGUAAUUUUCAGCUGGACAACAGUGUUUUAUACAUUUUAUUUUCUUUCUAUUGGCUUGAA